AGAGUUUGAUCCUGGCUCAGGAUGAACGCUAGCUACAGGCUUAACACAUGCAAGUCGAGGGGAAACGACAUCGAAAGCUUGCUUUUGAUGGGCGUCGACCGGCGCACGGGUGAGUAACGCGUAUCCAACCUGCCCACCACUUGGGGAUAACCUUGCGAAAGUAAGACUAAUACCCAAUGAUAUCUCUAGAAGACAUCUGAAAGAGAUUAAAGAUUUAUCGGUGAUGGAUGGGGAUGCGUCUGAUUAGCUUGUUGGCGGGGUAACGCCACCAAGGCUACGAUCAGUAGGGGUUCUGAGAGGAAGGUCCCCCANAUUGGAACUGAGACACGGUCCAAACUCCUACGAGAGGCA
rnacentral:rRNA from 1 species